GACGGGGGGGGCAAGUGUUCUUCGGAAUGACUGGGCGUAAAGGGCACGUAGGCGGAGAAUCGGGUUGAAAGUGAAAGUCGCCAAAAAGUGGCGGAAUGCUCUCGAAACCAAUUCACUUGAGUGAGACAGAGGAGAGUGGAAUUUCGUGUGUAGGGGUGAAAUCCGUAAAUAUACGAAGGAACGCCAAAAGCGAAGGCAGCUCUCUGGGUCCCUACCGACGCUGGGGUGCGAAAGCAUGGGGAGCGAACAGG
rnacentral:rRNA from 1 species